ensembl:lncRNA
CUGAACUGGACAUUGCCUUGGCUGCACGGAGUUAAGGUCCAACACUGGAAUGUGAGAUGUAAUCUACAUCUCGAUUAGGAUGAUAAAACCCUUAUUUCAUUGAAUGAUUUUUACAUUUGAACGUAGUUAUUUCUAUACAGCCUACAUUUUCUCGCUCUGAACUUCUAAAGCGAAUGGGGGCAGGUGUGGCUUCAUGAAGAUGCCAGAGCAGCUGCUCACCGAUUUAACAGCUCCAAACGCAGUUCCACCACCAAGUCAUCCACUAUGCAGAGAGGAGAAACUAUCAGGAGAGAAGAAUCAUGUCGGUGGAAGUCCACAUAGAAUAUUGUAGUGGAUGAGGGUACGAGUCUUGCUAUCAGGACCUAGCAUCUGCCAUCAAGCGGAACGUUCCUGAUGUGACGGUGACGGGAACCACGGGGCGGCGCUCCAGUUUCGAGGUAACAGUGAAUGGUAAACUGGCCUACUCUAAACUGGAGGCAGGAGGAUUCCCAGACACCAAGGAGAUGGUGGCGAUGGUGAAGGAGGUGAGCCGUGGAGGAAAGGUGGAGAAAGUGAAGAAGAAGGAUAAUAAGUGUUUUCUCCAAUAGAUGAGUGGUUAUUGAGAGGAGAGUGUUUUUUUAAGAUCCUGGGUCCUGAACUGAUUCUAUUAAUGAUUGUUCACAAUGAAACUAGGGAUGUGAACAUGAUGAAGUCGACAGUCAUUUCAACUCUGUGAUCUGAGGGAAAUACUCUUA